rnacentral:lncRNA from 1 species
GAGCCGCCGCCAUCAAUUCCUUUGAAAACUUGGAUAGAUAGAUUAGAUAGAUAUAUAGUGCACCAAAAUAGAAUAUAUUCAUAGGAAAAGUAAUGAAUACACCUGAUAUGCCAACUCCCAAGAAACUUUUGUGGUAAAAUAAAACUAACACAUACCAUGGCUAUCCAACAGUACAGAGUAGUCAGUUUAUCUAACAGCAGCAAAAGUGCACAACUUAUCAGUUUAAUACAUGAAAGAAUAUUUAAACUCCAACAAAACAUUUCAUAACCCCUCUUCUAACCCAUUUAGACAAGCUGUACUAAAUCGUACUAUAGCAACAACGACAAGGGAGCAUCAUUCAGCAGUAGCAACACACAUACCGAGGGCAUCAAUGCAGUUCACAUCUUGCGGGGAAUUCUCUGCUUAUUGCCCCUUCCUCCAGUUUGCAUGUGACAAAUUUCAAUGUAAAUUUUCCUAGAACUCUUGUAAAAAAGAGAGUGGCCCAAAUUAGAAUUUUAUCCCGAAAACUCUUAACUUUGCAUAAUAGAACAAAACUAAAAGUUUCAGAUCACAUCAUUAAAUAUCUUCAAGGAUAGAAAAAGAAAAGAAAAAAAAGGAACAAUGUAGUCUGUUGAUUUUCUAAUUUCAUUGAUCAGCAAGAAUGCUAUUUCAUUUUACAACAAAAGAAAGCAGAUACAAGUAGCUAGAUACAUCAACACUAUAAAUGGACAAACUGAACUGAAGACUACCUUGUGGUCCUUCCAAAAUUCUUUCACAACCCAAACCAUGAGAUAAAGUACAUCAAGGCUCUUACAGAAGACUUGCAACUAAAUUAUUAGUAAUUAUAUGAGCAUCCCUUUUUAGAGAUUUAGUAAGGAGAAAGAAGAGCAGUGGUACCGCAUCCUUUCUCUGGUCUCCAGGUUUAAGUGGAAUGGCGUUGCGGUUGCCGUUGUUGGAUACCUCCUACGUUUGUGCUUCUGCUCGUCUGGUGCCUAGCUCAACUCUAGGUAGCUCAAAUCUACCGAAAAACAGCUCAACAGCGUCUUGUCUCCCUGCUUGAUUACCACAAUUCAGUUCGAAAGCAAAAUCAGGUCAAGAUCACCCUGCAUAGUAGGA